UAGCAAGGUUAACCGAAUAGGGGAGCCGAAGGGAAACCGAGUCUUAACUGGGCGUUAAGUUGCAGGGUAUAGACCCGAAACCCGGUGAUCUAGCCAUGGGCAGGUUGAAGGUUGGGUAACACUAACUGGAGGACCGAACCGACUAAUGUUGAAAAAUUAGCGGAUGACUUGUGGCUGGGGGUGAAAGGCCAAUCAAACCGGGAGAUAGCUGGUUCUCCCCGAAAGCUAUUUAGGUAGCGCCUCGUGAAUUCAUCUCCGGGGGUAGAGCACUGUUUCGGCAAGGGGGUCAUCCCGACUUACCAACCCGAUGCAAACUGCGAAUACCGGAGAAUGUUAUCACGGGAGACACACGGCGGGUGCUAACGUCCGUCGUGAAGAGGGAAACAACCCAGACCGCCAGCUAAGGUCCCAAAGUCAUGGUUAAGUGGGAAACGAUGUGGGAAGGCCCAGACAGCCAGGAUGUUGGCUUAGAAGCAGCCAUCAUUUAAAGAAAGCGUAAUAGCUCACUGGUCGAGUCGGCCUGCGCGGAAGAUGUAACGGGGCUAAACCAUGCACCGAAGCUGCGGCAGCGACGCUUAUGCGUUGUUGGGUAGGGGAGCGUUCUGUAAGCCUGUGAAGGUGUGCUGUGAGGCAUGCUGGAGGUAUCAGAAGUGCGAAUGCUGACAUAAGUAACGAUAAAGCGGGUGAAAAGCCCGCUCGCCGGAAGACCAAGGGUUCCUGUCCAACGUUAAUCGGGGCAGGGUGAGUCGACCCCUAAGGCGAGGCCGAAAGGCGUAGUCGAUGGGAAACAGGUUAAUAUUCCUGUACUUGGUGUUACUGCGAAGGGGGGACGGAGAAGGCUAUGUUGGCCGGGCGACGGUUGUCCCGGUUUAAGCGUGUAGGCUGGUUUUCCAGGCAAAUCCGGAAAAUCAAGGCUGAGGCGUGAUGACGAGGCACUACGGUGCUGAAGCAACAAAUGCCCUGCUUCCAGGAAAAGCCUCUAAGCAUCAGGUAACAUCAAAUCGUACCCCAAACCGACACAGGUGGUCAGGUAGAGAAUACCAAGGCGCUUGAGAGAACUCGGGUGAAGGAACUAGGCAAAAUGGUGCCGUAACUUCGGGAGAAGGCACGCUGAUAUGUAGGUGAGGUCCCUCGCGGAUGGAGCUGAAAUCAGUCGAAGAUACCAGCUGGCUGCAACUGUUUAUUAAAAACACAGCACUGUGCAAACACGAAAGUGGACGUAUACGGUGUGACGCCUGCCCGGUGCCGGAAGGUUAAUUGAUGGGGUUAGCGGUAACGCGAAGCUCUUGAUCGAAGCCCCGGUAAACGGCGGCCGUAACUAUAACGGUCCUAAGGUAGCGAAAUUCCUUGUCGGGUAAGUUCCGACCUGCACGAAUGGCGUAAUGAUGGCCAGGCUGUCUCCACCCGAGACUCAGUGAAAUUGAACUCGCUGUGAAGAUGCAGUGUACCCGCGGCAAGACGGAAAGACCCCGUGAACCUUUACUAUAGCUUGACACUGAACAUUGAGCCUUGAUGUGUAGGAUAGGUGGGAGGCUUUGAAGUGUGGACGCCAGUCUGCAUGGAGCCGACCUUGAAAUACCACCCUUUAAUGUUUGAUGUUCUAACGUUGACCCGUAAUCCGGGUUGCGGACAGUGUCUGGUGGGUAGUUUGACUGGGGCGGUCUCCUCCUAAAGAGUAACGGAGGAGCACGAAGGUUGGCUAAUCCUGGUCGGACAUCAGGAGGUUAGUGCAAUGGCAUAAGCCAGCUUGACUGCGAGCGUGACGGCGCGAGCAGGUGCGAAAGCAGGUCAUAGUGAUCCGGUGGUUCUGAAUGGAAGGGCCAUCGCUCAACGGAUAAAAGGUACUCCGGGGAUAACAGGCUGAUACCGCCCAAGAGUUCAUAUCGACGGCGGUGUUUGGCACCUCGAUGUCGGCUCAUCACAUCCUGGGGCUGAAGUAGGUCCCAAGGGUAUGGCUGUUCGCCAUUUAAAGUGGUACGCGAGCUGGGUUUAGAACGUCGUGAGACAGUUCGGUCCCUAUCUGCCGUGGGCGCUGGAGAACUGAGGGGGGCUGCUCCUAGUACGAGAGGACCGGAGUGGACGCAUCACUGGUGUUCGGGUUGUCAUGCCAAUGGCACUGCCCGGUAGCUAAAUGCGGAAGAGAUAAGUGCUGAAAGCAUCUAAGCACGAAACUUGCC
rnacentral:rRNA from 1 species